GUCCUCUAAGGACAAUCUAUGGAAGGCAAGGACUAGCCCAAAGCCUCCUGCUUGCACCAGAUGGACCAGGGACAUGACCCCCGUAGGUCCUGCCCAAGGGACAUGGAAGGGCUGGGGAUGUCUCUGGGGGCAAUGUCAGCAGCUGAGACUACAGAAGACAGCAAGAGUUGCCCAGGGCUCAAAAAGGAGAUGGCUUCAAGUAACUGGGGGCAGCCGAUGGAAGCAGGGCAGCCUGUGUGUAAGGGAUGACCACUACAUUGUCCCAGAGAAUCAAUUAUUCUUGAUUCCUUUAUGCCCUAGACUUCAUAAAAUUCACCUUAUAGGAAUAAAGUUCAGUCCUAUCCAGAAUUGUUGGGAGACACUCUUCAAACCACCAAACUAUCAAGCACAAGGAAAGGUUGAGAGGGUCCUUAAAAGCUGGAAAGGCAUCAGGGGUAGAAAUUAUGCAUGAGCAUUCAGAUGUCUCUCUGAAGACUCCAAGUGGACUUAUAACACUCUCCCUUUGGGGCAGCCCUGCCUGGAGUCAGUUGGCAGUCUCUUGACACUAUGUAUGGAUGUCUUCUUCCAAGGAUGGCAAGGGGGAAGGAAGAUACAUCCUGUGCAGAAGAGGAGCCAGACACCUUGGUUUUCCUGAUACCAGAUCACACAGUGACACUAAUUCUGAGGACCUUGAAGUGAGAUACAUUCUCAUUUAAGGUAUUUACUUAUUUAUUGUUUCCUAAUGGGUGUUUCCCCUUAGAGUGCAAAAAGAAAGGCUACCGAGAAGAUGAAUUUGGGUCCUCCUCUCUCCACUGCUUUGCAAGCAUGAUAGGAAGUGGCUGCUCAAAGAGCCAACCAUUUCUUCUACACAAACAAGGCCAGUCAGAGCGCCUGGAGCCGCUAGGCAGAUCUUCAUUAUGGCCAUGCCCGACCUGGCCUUCCCAGUUGGAGGGGAUUCCAGAAGCUCUCCACAGACAAAUAAACAGCAAAUAAUUCCAGGG